AGAGAGCCAGGCAUCUCUACUUGAAAGCUGCUUGAAGAGUUUGUGCACAGUGGGUCUCCUACUCGGCUAUUCAGUUCUCCUGCUCUACUCUCCGGAAACCAUGGCUCUAGGUUGUGGAGCUGAAGGUUGGAAUGCACUGUGAGAGGUGCAUCAAGGCCAUCAAGAAGGCAAUCAAAACUAUUGACGACAUGGAGAGCUAUCGCCUUGAGACGGAGAUAAACAAGGUCACGGUGACGGGGAGCGUUACCCCAGAGGAAGUCGUCAAGGCUCUCCACAAGAUCGGGAAGACGGCGACAUGCUGGACCCAAGACUGAGGAGGGCCUGGUUGAUUCGGACGUCCCUGAGAAUGAGAUUUUGUUGGCUGUGGGUUGGAUUGGAUGGAGCUGGAGCCUGCCUGGGCAGGCAACUUUUUCAGACCAUCAGAUGUAUAGGAAUAACCACGGACAGAUGCUGUGACUUGUACUAUAUGUGAGGUAACCACUGCUGUUAUUCACUGUCGCCCGGCCGAUGCCACUCGCGAUCAUAUACACAGAGACAGAGUCUUUAUUUUCAUGCA